rnacentral:tRNA from 1 species
GCUGGAGAGAUGGCUCAGUGGUUAAGAGCACUGACUGCUCUUCCAGAGGUCCUGAGUUCAAACCCCAGCAAACA